rnacentral:lncRNA from 1 species
AGAGCACCCAGCAUAACUGUGGGAGAAUAGUAAGCAUUGGACACAAAAUGGAAAAGCUGACCUUCUGGUACGGAAGAGCAUGAGCAGUGAGUGAGCAGUGCCCAUGCGUUGUGAGGCGGCCUCCAUGGUAUAAGGUUUAGGCAAAUAAUGAUGAACAAAAAUGGUCAGUCUGUGUUCCUGCUGACCCAGCACAGUGGGGACGCUGUGUAGGACAUGACCUUUGGGGGAAAGGACACAAGAACUCAGCGUGGGGGAUCCAGAAAAGAAGUCGCACGUAUUGAAGCCAGUAACGCCAAGCCAGUGAAUUCUCCUUGACGAGAAAGACCCACUUACUCUGCAGAAGAGAUAUAUGACAGCUGACAAUCCCUGGAGGAGAAUCUUUCUACUAAAUUGGUAAGGGAUGCUAAGCAAAUGAUGUGGACUCAGGAAACAACGCAUUUCAUGAUAUACGGUUGCCUCUCAAGGUGAAUUCGAGACCCCUCUUGAAUUACAAAGAGUUGAAAACAUUCAAGUACGGAAUAAACUAUUACUGCGAAUACGCUCAUAUGACACAAGAACAAUCUCUGAGCUUCUUUGAGGAUGUCCAGAUGACUGCUGACUGCACUAAUUGCAUCAAUCGUGUAUCCAUACAGGUUCUUUCUAUAAAAUAGUGGUCGCUAGUUAUGAGGCGUUAAGCCUUCAUGGAUAUAAACAGACUAUUCCACCUAAGUGAUCUGGCAGAAGCUUAGUUUUCUACCACAACAUCCACCGUCCUCCCUCCCUCCCUUCCUAGCUGGUCAGAAAAGCUACUCAGAAUAAAGACUACAUUUCCCAGCCAUCUUUGCAGCUAGGUUUAUCCACCUGACUAAAUUCCACCGUAACUCCAGGUUGAAGAACUUCUACUUAUAGGCAUCUAUUCAACGAAGACGAAUCCUGGAAUGGGGAUGGAAAUGAUGGCUCAUGUCUUAGCAAACUACCAAACUGAUCCGAGAGGACAGGGAAGUCAGUGUGGGCGGCUCUAAGGAGCCUCCCUCUCUACAGCUGCGGCUCAGAGGAUUACGGCGCUUCAUCCACAAGGCAACAUUGCACAAGUAGCUUUUGAACAAAAGUCAUGGAUACUAUUAAUGAUAUGUUCCCACACACAUUUAGUGUCGUCUCAAAAUUCACGCUGUCAACUGUCUCUAGGAAUCAUUUCCAUCUGAGAACAGACCACACAAAGACACAGUGAAACUCAGUUUCUGCAGAAUUUGAUUUCAUUUGAGUUACUGGGGAACAAAGCAAUUAGACAAUGAAUAAUAGCUCAAGACAGGCUGAAGCUGAAGAUUUCUGCAAAAGAAUGAAGAGGAAACGUUUUGAUCCUGAGCAGAUGUUCUCCCUAGAUUGCUUCACCUGAGGUUGAUUGACUUUUGGAAACGAGAUUUGUUCCCAGUGCUUUGUGAGUCUCUUGUUGGAAGGACUGUCUUUAAAUUAAAGCAAUUAGAGUUACUUUAUAAGAUUUACCCAAAUAUAAGAGCUGAAGAGAAUAAUUCAAAUUGAUCAGAAGAAAAUACUCAAUUACUGACAAAUGUCAAUUACAUCAAUAGCCUAGGCUGCUCUUGAACUCCUGGGCUCAAACGAUCCUCC